GAUGAACGCUGGCGGCGUGCCUAAUACAUGCAAGUCGAGCGAACAGACGAGGAGCUUGCUCCUCUGACGUUAGCGGCGGACGGGUGAGUAACACGUGGAUAACCUACCUAUAAGACUGGGAUAACUUCGGGAAACCGGAGCUAAUACCGGAUAACAUGUUGAACCGCAUGGUUCAACAGUGAAAGACGGUCUUGCUGUCACUUAUAGAUGGAUCCGCGCCGCAUUAGCUAGUUGGUAAGGUAACGGCUUACCAAGGCAACGAUGCGUAGCCGACCUGAGAGGGUGAUCGGCCACACUGGAACUGAGACACGGUCCAGCCUCCUACGGGAGGCAGCAGUAGGGAAUCUUCCGCAAUGGGCGAAAGCCUGACGGAGCAACGCCGCGUGAGUGAUGAAGGUCUUCGGAUCGUAAAACUCUGUUAUUAGGGAAGAACAAAUGUGUAAGUAACUAUGCACGUCUUGACGGUACCUAAUCAGAAAGCCACGGCUAACUACGUG
rnacentral:rRNA from 1 species